AUUGAACGCUGGCGGCAGGCUUAACACAUGCAAGUCGCGCGAGCGGAGGACGGGUGAGUAAUGUCUGGGAAACUGCCUGAUGGAGGGGGAUAACUACUGGAAACGGUAGCUAAUACCGCAUACCAUCAGAUGUGCCCAGAUGGGAUUAGCUAGUAGGAGGGUGAAUGGCUCAACUAGGGGACGAUCCCUAGCUGAUCUGAGAGGAUGACCAGCCCCACUGUAACUGAGACACGGUCCAGAUUCCUACGGGAGUCAGCAGUGGUGAAUAUUGCCCAAUCGGCGCAAGCCUGAUGCAGCCAUGCCGCGUGUGUGAAGAAGGCCUUCGGGUUGUAAAGCACUUUCAGCGAGGAGGCGUUACUCGCAGAAGAAGCACCGGCUAACUCCGUGCCAGCAGCCGCGGUAAUAC
rnacentral:rRNA from 1 species